AACCCCAUGUGAACUCGUGUUUGUCUGUCUUUGGGGGAGAACGUUGUGGUUGCACUUGUUGCUCCAUUCUGUUGUCUCCCAAAUGAGUCUUUAUCGACUCAAUUGACUAAACUACUUUUUAAUAUUUUUUGGAAUUUAUUUAUUAUACUAAUAAAGGACAACUUUUAACGGUGGAUCUCUUGGCUCGUGGAUCGAUGAAGAACGCAGCAAACUGCGAUACGUAGUGUGAAUUGCAGAAUUCAGUGAAUCAUCGAAUCUUUGAACGCAAAUUGCGCUGUUGGGCAUUCCUGACAGCAUGCUUGGCUGAGUAUCAUCUGGAUAAAUCACAAAAGUUUUUCUUUUGUGGAAUUGAGGUGUCGUAUUGGCAACAAUGCGUCCCUUUAAAUGCAGCAAGGUGCAGAACUUUAGCGUUCUUGUACCACUAGUGUGUCAAUUGUCCUUUGGACAUCAUGCACUAUGUAGGUAUUUGGACAUUCAAGCUAAAUUUCUACAUCCUUUUCAAAACUCAUCUGAAACUUUGAUCUCAGCUCAAGCAAGACUACCCGCUGAAUUUAAGCAUAUCAAUAAG
rnacentral:rRNA from 1 species